ACGCUGGCGGCAUGCCUCAUACAUGCAAGUCGAACGAGAUCCUCGGAUCUAGUGGCGCACGGGUGAGUAACAUGUGGGAAUCUACCUGAAGGUUCGGAAUAACUGCGGGAAACUGUAGCUAAUACCGGAUGUGUCUGCAAAGAGAAAGAUUUAUCGCCUUCAGAUGAGCCCGCACUAGAUUAGCUAGUUGGUGAGGUAACUGCUCCACCAAGGCUACGAUCUAUAGCUGAUUUGAGAGGAUGAUCAGCCACACUGGGACUGAGACACGGCCCAGACUCCUACGGGAGGCAGCAGUAGGGAAUAUUGGACAAUGGGGGAAACCCUGAUCCAGCAAUGCCGCGUGAGUGAAGAAGGCCUUAGGGUUGUAAAACUCUUUCAUCAAUGAUGAUAAUGACAUUAGUUGAAGAAGAAGCUCCGGCUAACUUCGUGCCAGCAGCCGCGGUAAUACGAAGGGGGCUAGCGUUGUUCGGAAUCACUGGGCGUAAAGCGUAUGUAGGCGGAUCAAAAAGUUAGAUGUGAAAUCCCUGGGCUCAACCCAGGAACUGCAUUUAAAACUAGUGAUCUAGAAAUUGGUAAGGGUUAGUAGAAUUUCCAGUGUAGAGGUGAAAUUCGUAGAUAUUGGAAAGAAUACCAGAAGCGAAGGCGACUAACUAGGCCAUUUUUGACGCUGAGAUACGAAAGCGUGGGUAGCAAACAGGAUUAGAUACCCUGGUAGUCCACGCAGUAAACGAUGAGUGCUAGUCGCUGGUACAAUGGUAUCAGUGUCGAAGCUAACGCAUUAAGCACUCCGCCUGGGAAGUACGGUC
rnacentral:rRNA from 1 species